UACAGAGGUCGCAAGCGUUGUUCGGAUUCAUUGGGCGUAAAGGGUGCGUAGGUGGCGAGGUUAGUCAGGUGUGAAAUCUCGGGGCUCAACCCCGAAACUGCACUUGAUACUGCCUUGCUAGAGUACUGGAGAGGAGAUUGGAAUUUACGGUGUAGCAGUGAAAUGCGUAGAUAUCGUAAGGAAGACCAGUGGCGAAGGCGGGUCUCUGGACAGUUCCUGACGCUGAGGCACGAAGGCCAGGGGAGCAAACGGG
rnacentral:rRNA from 1 species